GUGAAUCAUCAAAUCUUUGAACGCAAAUUGCGCUUCCUGGUAUCCCGUGAAGUAUGCCUGUUUGAGGGUCAGUAUUAACAUAAAAUCUUUUUGGUUGCUAAUUGUGACGUUUCCGGAUUUUGGACUUAUCUUAACUUUUUUGAUUAAGGGGCUUAAAAUUUACCUUUUUUGCGCAUUUUUAUUCGUUCAUAAAUUUUUUUUUAUUCGUCUAUCCUUAAUGCUAAAAUCUUAUUAUAUGCUAUCACAU
rnacentral:misc_RNA from 1 species